rnacentral:misc_RNA from 1 species
GAAAUGCGAUAAGUAAUGUGAAUUGCAGAAUUCAGUGAAUCAUCGAAUCCUUGAACGCACCUUGCGCUCCUUGGUAUUCCUUGGAGCAUGCCUGUUUGAGUAUCAUGAAAUCUUCAAAGUAAAUCUUUUGUUAACUCAAUUGGUUUCUACUUUGGUAUUGGAGGUCUUUGCAGCUUCACACCUGCUCCUCUUUGUUCAUUAGCUGGAUCUCAGUGUUAUGCUUGGUUCCACUCGGCGUGAUAAGUUAUCUAUCGCUGAGGACACUGUAAAAGGUGGCCAAGGUAAAUGCAGAUGAACCGCUUCUAAUAGUCCAUUGACUUGGACAAUACUUUUAUGAUCUGAUCUCAAAUCAGGUAGGACUACCCGCUGAACUUAAGC